ACCAGACUCCUACGGGAGGCAGCAGUGGGGAAUAUUGCGCAAUGGGCGAAAGCCUGACGCAGCGACGCCGCGUGAGGGAUGAAGGUCUUCGGAUCGUAAACCUCUGUCAGCAGGGAAGAACGGUCACUGUGCUAAUCAGCAGUGAAUUGACGGUACCUGCAAAGGAAGCACCGGCUAACUCCGUGCCAGCAGCCGCGGUAAUACGUAGGUGGCAAGCGUUGUCCGGAUUUACUGGGUGUAAAGGGCGUGCAGCCGGGCCGACAAGUCAGAUGUGAAAUCCGCGGGCUUAACCCGCGAACUGCAUUUGAAACUAUUGUUCUUGAGUACCGGAGAGGUCAUCGGAAUUCCUUGUGUAGCGGUGAAAUGCGUAGAUAUAAGGAAGAACACCAGUGGCGAAGGCGGAUGACUGGACGGCAACCGACGGUGAGGCGCGAAAGCGUGGGGAGCAAACAGGAUUAGAUACCCUAGUAAC
rnacentral:rRNA from 1 species